rnacentral:rRNA from 1 species
UCUUUUUAUAAAAAGGUAAUAUUUUUGAAAAAACCUAUGCUCUUUGACGGCCCUCUUUCUUAUUAAAGGAACUUGUUAUUUUCGAAAAUACCCGCUUAAUUUUACUCUCUUUAUGCCUUUAUACCGCCGUCUUAAGAAUUUAUUCCUAUAUACUUUCUAAAUAGUUAUUUCUAAAAAGUCAGGUCAAGGUGAAGCUAUAAUUUAGGUAUUAAUAAGUUAUUUAUUAAAAAAAUUAAUGGAAAUUAAAUUAAAAUUCAUAAAAAUCAAGAUUUAAAAGUAUAAAUUAAAUAAAAUUUUAUUUAGAAUUAGUAAAAGAGGGUGU